rnacentral:piRNA from 1 species
UCCCAGUGCUUGACUUCCCAGUCUGUCAGGGA